CGGACGGGUGAGUAACGCGUGGGUAACCUACCCUGUACAGGGGAGUAACAGUCAGAAAUGACUGCUAAUACCGCAUAAGACCACAGCACCGCAUGGUGCAGGGGUAAAAACUCCGGUGGUACAGGAUGGACCCGCGUCUGAUUAGCUGGUUGGUGAGGUAACGGCUCACCAAGGCGACGAUCAGUAGCCGGCUUGAGAGAGUGAACGGCCACAUUGGGACUGAGACACGGCCCAA
rnacentral:rRNA from 1 species